rnacentral:rRNA from 1 species
GGGACGAACGCUGGCGGCGUGCCUAACACAUGCAAGUCGAACGAGGUCCAACCGGUGGCAACACUGGUGAAGACCUAGUGGCGAACGGGUGAGUAACACGUGAGCAACCUGCCUCGAAGACUGGGAUAACCCCGGGAAACCGGAGCUAAUACCGGAUACCCCCAUCGGGUCGCAUGGCCUGAUGAGGAAAUGGAUUCCGCUUUGAGAGGGGCUCGCGGCCUAUCAGCUUGAUGGUGGGGUAAUGGCCUACCAUGGCACCGACGGGUAGCUGGUCUGAGAGGACGAUCAGCCACACUGGGACUGAGACACGGCCCAGACUCCUACGGGAGGCAGCAGUGGGGAAUUUUGCGCAAUGGGGGAAACCCUGACGCAGCAACGCCGCGUGGAGGAUGAAAUCCCUUGGGAUGUAAACUCCUUUCGAUAGGGAAGAUAAUGACGGUACCUAUAGAAGAGCCCCGGCUAACUUCGUGCCAGCAGCCGC